rnacentral:rRNA from 1 species
CCCUUAGAUGUCCGGGGCCGCACGCGCGCUACAAUGACGGUGCCAACGAGUCUGACCUUCUGGCCCGAAAGGGUUGGGCAAACUGGUCAAUCACCGUCAUGACAGGGAUCGGGGCUUGGAAUUGUUCCCCGUGAACGAGGAAUUCCUAGUAAGUGCAAGUCAUAAGCUUGCGCUGAUUACGUCCCUGCCCUUUGUACACACCGCCUCGAUCCCUGUCCUC